rnacentral:rRNA from 1 species
GGGAAUCUUGCGCAAUGGGCGAAAGCCUGACGCAGCAACGCCGCGUGCGGGAAGACGGCCUUCGGGUUGUAAACCGCUUUCAGCAGGGACGAAAUUGACGGUACCUGCAGAAGGAGCUCCGGCCAACUCAGUGCCAGCAGCCGCGGUAAGACGUAGGGAGCGAGCGUUGUCCGGAUUUAUUGGGCGUAAAGGGCUCCUAGGCGGUUCAGUAAGUCGACGGUGAAAAUCCAAGGCUCAACCUUGGGACGCCAGUCGAUACUGCUGUGACUCGAGUCCGGUAGAGGAGUGUGGAAUACCUGGUGUAGCGGUGAAAUGCGCAGAUAUCAGGUGGAACACCAAUGGCGAAGGCAGCACUCUGGGCCGGUACUGACGCUGAAGAGCGAAAGCGUGGGUAGCAAAC